CCAAGCGUCUUCCUUUUGCAUGCACACACACACACACACACACACACACACACACACAGAGCAUGUUACCAACAGCUUUUUAUUUAACUUUCUCCCUGCCCAGAGCUUCUCUUCACUGACUGUCUGGGACAAGCCAGCGCCGUGGAGCUGUCUCUUUUUCAUUUCUCAGCCUCACUGGCCAUUCCAGGUAUCUGCUGAUGGGGCUCUUGGCCCUUAUAGCCAAGCUGCCCAAGACUUGACUUGCUCUUUUUACCAAAAAAAAAAAAAAAAACUAUUUCCACUAAACCACUGAGCAUUUCAUAUGUCGUAAUUUUAAAGCCACUUCUUUACUCAUUUCUUCCGUUUAUUUGCCUAGUCCUCAAGAAAUAUUUGCUUGAUGUGACUUCUUGGAACCAAAUGUUGGUACCCAACUGAAAGGGAUGGAGCCCUCCGAACUUGGAAGUUCCGCUGAGGAUGAGGGCGGCCGCCAUUUUGAAACGAACAGACUCCAAAAGCACGCUCCACUGGGCCUGCCCCUGCGAUCUUAAAACAGAUGUCCGUGAAAUGUGACCCAUGAAUAGCAGUUAUCUGGAGAGAGAGCUCUGAAGCUGAUGAAACCAUUAGAGCCACUGAAGGCACCUGGUAAAUGCGAUGCGGGGAGUACAGAAGAGAGAAUCAGAAACACACCGGCACUCUCAUUCCCAUGAGGCCACUUACAGUGGGUAAAACGUCGCUUGAGAAGAGCGGCCUAAAAACAAGAACGUCUGCCCUCUUCCUUCUUAACCAAGACUGAGAUGAGGACAAGUCAGACCCUUCAGACCCAUCGUUUCAGGGACCAGCUCCAGCCUGAAUGAGAAGCACGUCCUCCUGGGAGUUACGUCAGCAGCCUGACCUUCCAUCUUCCUCCUCUAAAGAAGCGUCCCUGCCACCCUGAGCACGAAGCCCUCGGGUUCCUAAAGGCCGAGGCGCUUCUUCUCAUUUACUUCCCUUGAGGAAGAAAGACCAGCCCAUCCACCCUCAUUUCCCACCGAAGGGCAUCGCAAAUAAAGUUUGCCCACGCAACCAGGCCACCACCAUUAAUUUCUCUCUGCCCUGCUCUUACAUUCUCCUCAAGGUUUUCAGUCCCCUAGAGAGGCUCCCUUCCCUCUUUUCUUUCCUUCCUCCAGCCCCCCUUUUCACCUCCCUCCACCAUUGUUUGAGGUUAAGAAGCAUGCUACGGUGUUCUAUAAAUCACUUGGCAAGAGUAGACGACAAAAGCAAAAUAUAAUUCAGAUUAAAGUCAUCCUCCCGCUGAAAUGAUAGUUUCUUAAAUAAAUGGCGAUGCUGCCUAUCAAUCUUGCUGGCAACUGGUCCUCUCAUAUUCAUCUUUCUGGGGGUGAUUUAGGAUCCACCUGGGUCCUCCGAGAAGAUUCUCCCAUCAUUUCCUUCCCGUCUCUCUGGAUCUUGCUGCUGGGCUUGGCGCAGUUGACAAAUUCUCCAAGUAAUCCCUCAAAAGAUUGGAGAAAUGCUCCGAACGCUCCAUUAAACUUAUUUUCCAUGCUUUAAGAGACCCAAAACUAUGUCCAAUAAAUAAGUGUUCCCUGUGA
rnacentral:lncRNA from 1 species